CUUGCUCCCUGAUGUUAGCGGCGGACGGGUGAGUAACACGUGGGUAACCUGCCUGUAAGACUGGGAUAACUCCGGGAAACCGGGGCUAAUACCGGAUGGUUGUUUGAACCGCAUGGUUCAGACAUAAAAGGUGGCUUCGGCUACCACUUACAGAUGGACCCGCGGCGCAUUACCUAGUUGGUGAGGUAACGGCUCACCAAGGCAACGAUGCGUAGCCGACCUGAGAGGGUGAUCGGCCACACUGGGACUGAGACACGGCCCAGACUCCUACGGGAGGCAGCAGUAGGGAAUCUUCCGCAAUGGACGAAAGUCUGACGGAGCAACGCCGCGUGAGUGAUGAAGGUUUUCGGAUCGUAAAGCUCUGUUGUUAGGGAAGAACAAGUGCCGUUCAAAUAGGGCGGCACCUUGACGGUACCUAACCAGAAAGCCACGGCUAACUACGUGCCAGCAGCCGCGGUAAUACGUAGGUGGCAAGCGUUGUCCGGAAUUAUUGGGCGUAAAGGGCUCGCAGGCGGUUUCUUAAGUCUGAUGUGAAAGCCCCCGGCUCAACCGGGGAGGGUCAUUGGAAACUGGGGAACUUGAGUGCAGAAGAGGAGAGUGGAAUUCCACGUGUAGCGGUGAAAUGCGUAGAGAUGUGGAGGAACACCAGUGGCGAAGGCGACUCUCUGGUCUGUACUAUCUGACCCCUCAGCGUCCAGAUCCCAAGACAAAGGAUUACGAACACGCUUUUACC
rnacentral:rRNA from 1 species